CUAGCAUAUCAAUAAGCGGAGGAAAAGAAACCAACAGGGAUUGCCCCAGUAACGGCGAGUGAAGCGGCAACAGCUCAAAUUUGAAAUCUGGCGUCUUCGGCGUCCGAGUUGUAAUUUGUAGAGGGUGUCUCGGGUGGAGAACCGGUCCAAGUCCCUUGGAACAGGAUAUCAUAGAGGGUGAGAAUCCCGUAUCCGGCCGGUCCCCUCCCCCGCUGUGAGACCCCUUCGACGAGUCGAGUUGUUUGGGAAUGCAGCUCUAAAUGGGUGGUAAAUUCCAUCUAAAGCUAAAUACUGGCCAGAGACCGAUAGCGCACAAGUAGAGUGAUCGAAAGAUGAAAAGCACUUUGAAAAGAGAGUCAAACAGUACGUGAAAUUGUUGAAAGGGAAGCGUAUGCGGCCAGACUUGCCCGCGGUUGCUCACCCCGUCUUCUGGCGGGUGCACUCUUCCGCGGUCAGGCCAGCAUCGGUUUGGGCGGCGGGAUAAAGGCGCUGGGAAUGUGGCCCCUCGGGGUGUUAUAGCCCGGCGUGCAAUGUCGCCAGCCCGGACCGAGGCCCGCGUUCUGCUAGGAUGCUGGCGUAAUGGCCGUAUACGGCCCGUCUUGAAACACGGACCAAGGAGUCUAACAUCUAUGCGAGUGUUUGGGUGUCAAGCCCGGGCGCGCAAUGAAAGUGAACGGAGGUGGGAGCCUCGGCGCACCAUCGACCGAUCCUGAUGUCUUCGGAAGGAUUUGAGUAAGAGCAUAGCUGAUAGGACCCGAAAGAUGGUGAACUAUGCGUGAAUAGGGUGAAGCCAGAGGAAACUCUGGUGGAGGCUCGCAGCGGUUCUGACGUGCAAAUCGAUCGUCAAAUUUGCGUAUAGGGGCGAAAGACUAAUCGAACCAUUUAGUAGCUGGUUCCUGCGAG
rnacentral:rRNA from 1 species